rnacentral:rRNA from 1 species
CCCUUAGACGUUCUGGGCCGCACGCGCGCUACACUGACCAGUGCAACAAGCAUCCGUCCUUGGCCGACAGGCCCGGGCAAUCUUUGAACGCUGGUCGUGAUGGGGAUAGACUUUUGCAAUUUUUGGUCUUCAACGAGGAAUUCCUAGUAAACGCAAGUCAUCAACUUGCAUUGAUUACGUCCCUGCCCUUUGUACACACCGCCCGUCGCACCUACCGAUUGAAUGGUCCGGUGAAGCCUCCGGAUUGGCGCGCACCUCGGUGCCGCCGAGAAGUUGGCUAAACCUUACCAUUUAGAGGAAGGUGAGGUCGUAACA